GGCUCUUUGAUGGAUAGCUAUAAAGAGUCGGACCUGCCCAAUGACGUAGUGUUGAAUGGCCGCGGUAUUCUGACCGUGCGAAGGUAGCAUAAUCAUUUGUCUUUUAAUUGAGGACUGGAAUGAAUGGUUUGACGAAAACAAGACUGUCUUUUUAUUAUUAAAUAGAAAUUAAUUUUAAAGUGAAGAAGCUUUAAUUUUUAUAUUAGACAAGAAGACCCUAUUGAGCUUUAUUAUUUUGUAGUUGUUUGGAUUUUAUAUUUUUAAAAAAUUUAUUGAAAUUAUGGGUAGUUUGGUUGGGGCGACUGAGGAAUAAAAGAAACUUCCUUUGUGUUUGGAAAAGAAUAUUAUGAUCCGGUAUUUACCGAUUAAAAGAAAUAGCUACCAUAGGGAUAACAGCGUUAUUUUUUUAGAGAGUUCUUAUCGAAAAAAAAGUUUGCGACCUCGAUGUUGGAUUGAAGUAUCAAAAGGGUGUAGCAGCUCUUUGAGUUGGUCUGUUCGACCAUUAAAACUUUACAU
rnacentral:rRNA from 1 species